GCUUGUCUCAAAGAUUAAGCCAUGCAUGUCUAAGUAUAAGCGACUAUACUGUGAAACUGCGAAUGGCUCAUUAAAUCAGUUAUGGUUUAUUUGAUGGUACCUUGCUACUUGGAUAACCGUAGUAAUUCUAGAGCUAAUACAUGCAGGAGUUCCCGACUCACGGAGGGAUGUAUUUAUUAGAUAAGAAACCAAACCGGUCUCCGGUUGCGUGCUGAGUCAUAAUAACUGCUCGAAUCGCACGGCUCUACGCCGGCGAUGGUUCAUUCAAAUUUCUGCCCUAUCAGCUUUCGAUGGUAGGAUAGAGGCCUACCAUGGCGUUAACGGGUAACGGAGAAUUAGGGUUCGAUUCCGGAGAGGGAGCCUGAGAAAUGGCUACCACAUCCAAGGAAGGCAGCAGG
rnacentral:rRNA from 1 species